GAUGAACGCUGGCGGCGUGCCUAAUACAUGCAAGUCGAACGCGAAAGGCUUGAAGCCUUCGGGCGGAGGGCCGAGUAGAGUGGCGGACGGGUGAGUAACGCGUGGGUAACCUGCCUCAUACAGGGGGAUAACAGUUGGAAACGACUGCUAAUACCGCAUAAGCGCACAGGGUUGCAUGGCCUGGUGUAAAAAACUCCGGUGGUAUGAGAUGGACCCGCGUCUGAUUAGCCAGUUGGUGGGGUAACGGCCUACCAAAGCGACGAUCAGUAGCCGACCUGAGAGGGUGACCGGCCACAUUGGGACUGAGACACGGCCCAAACUCCUACGGGAGGCAGCAGUGGGGAAUAUUGCACAAUGGGGGAAACCCUGAUGCAGCGACGCCGCGUGAGCGAAGAAGUAUUUCGGUAUGUAAAGCUCUAUCAGCAGGGAAGAAGAAAUGACGGUACCUGACUAAGAAGCACCGGCUAAAUACGUG
rnacentral:rRNA from 1 species